rnacentral:rRNA from 1 species
UAAAUAAUAUUAUGAGAAUAGUGUGCAUUUUUUCCAUAUAAGGACAUUGUAAUCUAUUAGCAUAUACCAAAUUUAUCAUAAAAUAUAACUUAUAGUUUAUUCCAAUUAAAUUGCUUGCAUUUUAACACAGAAUAAAUGUUAUUAAUUUGAUAAAGUGCUGAUAGAUUUAUAUGAUUACAGUGCGUUAAUUUUUCGGAAUUAUAUAAUGGCAUAAUUAUCAUUGAUUUUUGUGUUUAUUAUAUGCACUUGUAUGAUUAACAAUGCGAAAGAUUCAGGAUACCUUCGGGACCCGUCUUGAAACACGGACCAAGGAGUCUAACAUAUGUGCAAGUUAUUGGGAUAUAAACCUAAUAGCGUAAUUAACUUGACUAAUAAUGGGAUUAGUUUUUUAGCUAUUUAUAGCUAAUUAACACAAUCCCGGGGCGUUCUAUAUAGUUAUGUAUAAUGUAUAUUUAUAUUAUUUAUGCCUCUAACUGGAACGUACCUUGAGCAUAUAUGCUGUGACCCGAAAGAUGGUGAACUAUACUUGAUCAGGUUGAAGUCAGGGGAAACCCUGAUGGAAGACCGAAACAGUUCUGACGUGCAAAUCGAUUGUCAGAAUUGAGUAUAGGGGCGAAAGACCAAUCGAACCAUCUAGUAGCUGGUUCCUUCCGAAGUUUCCCUCAGGAUAGCUGGUGCAUUUUAAUAUUAUAUAAAAUAAUCUUAUCUGGUAAAGCGAAUGAUUAGAGGCCUUAGGGUCGAAACGAUCUUAACCUAUUCUCAAACUUUAAAUGGGUAAGAACCUUAACUUUCUUGAUAUGAAGUUCAAGGUUAUGAUAUAAUGUGCCCAGUGGGCCACUUUUGGUAAGCAGAACUGGCGCUGUGGGAUGAACCAAACGUAAUGUUACGGUGCCCAAAUUAACAACUCAUGCAGAUACCAUGAAAGGCGUUGGUUGCUUAAAACAGCAGGACGGUGAUCAUGGAAGUCGAAAUCCGCUAAGGAGUGUGUAACAACUCACCUGCCGAAGCAACUAGCCCUUAAAAUGGAUGGCGCUUAAGUUGUAUACCUAUACAUUACCGCUAAAGUAGAUGAUUUAUAUUACUUGUGAUAUAAAUUUUGAAACUUUAGUGAGUAGGAAGGUACAAUGGUAUGCGUAGAAGUGUUUGGCGUAAGCCUGCAUGGAGCUGCCAUUGGUACAGAUCUUGGUGGUAGUAGCAAAUAAUCGAAUGAGACCUUGGAGGACUGAAGUGGAGAAGGGUUUCGUGUGAACAGUGGUUGAUCACGAGUUAGUCGGUCCUAAGUUCAAGGCGAAAGCCGAAAAUUUUCAAGUAAAACAAAAAUGCCUAACUAUAUAAACAAAGCGAAUUAUAAUACACUUGAAUAAUUUUGAACGAAAGGGAAUACGGUUCCAAUUCCGUAACCUGUUGAGUAUCCGUUUGUUAUUAAAUAUGGGCCUCGUGCUCAUCCUGGCAACAGGAACGACCAUAAAGAAGCCGUCGAGAGAUAUCGGAAGAGUUUUCUUUUCUGUUUUAUAGCCGUACUACCAUGGAAGUCUUUCGCAGAGAGAUAUGGUAGAUGGGCUAGAAGAGCAUGACAUAUACUGUUGUGUCGAUAUUUUCUCCUCGGACCUUGAAAAUUUAUGGUGGGGACACGCAAACUUCUCAACAGGCCGUACCAAUAUCCGCAGCUGGUCUCCAAGGUGAAGAGUCUCUAGUCGAUAGAAUAAUGUAGGUAAGGGAAGUCGGCAAAUUAGAUCCGUAACUUCGGGAUAAGGAUUGGCUCUGAAGAUUGAGAUAGUCGGGCUUGAUUGGGAAACAAUAACAUGGUUUAUGUGCUCGUUCUGGGUAAAUAGAGUUUCUAGCAUUUAUGUUAGUUACUUGUUCCCCGGAUAGUUUAGUUACGUAGCCAAUUGUGGAACUUUCUUGCUAAAAUUUUUAAGAAUACUAUUUGGGUUAAACCAAUUAGUUCUUAUUAAUUAUAACGAUUAUCAAUUAACAAUCAAUUCAGAACUGGCACGGACUUGGGGAAUCCGACUGUCUAAUUAAAACAAAGCAUUGUGAUGGCCCUAGCGGGUGUUGACACAAUGUGAUUUCUGCCCAGUGCUCUGAAUGUCAAAGUGAAGAAAUUCAAGUAAGCGCGGGUCAACGGCGGGAGUAACUAUGACUCUCUUAAGGUGAGGUAGCCAAAUGGCCUCGUCAUCUAAUUAGUGACGCGCAUGAAUGGAUUAAAGACCUCGGUUUGGUAUCGUCAAUGAAAUACCACUACUCUUAUUGUUUCCUUACUUACUUGAUUAAAUGGAACGUGUAUCAUUUCCUAGCCAUUAUACGGAUAUAUUUAUUAUAUCUUAUGGUAUUGGGUUUUGAUGCAAGCUUCUUGAUCAAAGUAUCACGAGUUUGUUAUAUAAUCGCAAACAAAUUCUUUAAUAAAACGAUGCAUUUAUGUAUUUUGAUUUGAAAAUUUGGUAUAACUCCAAUUACUCAGGUAUGAUCCAAUUCAGGACAUUGCCAGGUAGGGAGUUUGACUGGGACAGCAAAAAAGAGAUAAAUCUACAAAUAUAAUAAUCAAAAAAAAAAAAGAAUAAAAUAGCCAAAUGCCUCGUCAUCUAAAUUAGUGACGCGGCGCAUGAAAUGGAUUAACGAACUGGACGGACGUGUUUUUCGUUGCGCUCGUGGACAUAGUGCGAAGAACUUUGUUUUCCGUAUUUGGAAGUAUACGAAUAAAUAAUUUAGUGUUCCGUGGAAGUGGUGCGCAAAUUUUCGCGAAUUAAAAACAAGCGGUUUGGAAGUAAUUGACAAUAAAUUAUUGGAAAUUUUCCACUCCGCACGUGUUGAGCGGCGAGCUUGCGGGUGAGCUUUUCGAACAGCUGAGAGAAGCUUAUUGGUGGUAGUCACCGCUAAGGAUUGUGUCUUGGGACAGCUUAGUGCACUCUACCAAUAGGUGGAGCUAUCACCAUAGCAACUAGCCCGUGUCAGCGAGCAUACGAUUGCUGGACUCGUCAAAAGGAGGAGCCACCAUCGGAGCAACGCCGAUGGAGAGCGACAGCAGUGUGAGUGCCUUGAGCGGAAGCAGUGCCUCAAAGGUGUCAAGACGAGGCAGGCGUAGAGGCCAUCUGGCCUCCAAGAGCUCGGCGCCAACGCAGGCGAAGCUGGUUGCCCUGGCCUCGAAUGGAGUGCCAGAACCCGUUGGUGUGCUGGAGGAGACGUUUUCAUCGCUGGAGGAUGCCCGGGCGGCUACGUCAAACGCUGCCAACGAUGCUGCCCCCCCCGC